CGGUGAGAUGGGUGAGUGGCUGAAACCACGUCCCUGCUAAGGACGCAUACGGGCAACUGUAUCGAGGGUUCGAAUCCCUCUCUCACCGCCAA
rnacentral:tRNA from 1 species